CUGAGCAAUAGGGUCCCCAGUGCUCCCAGUAAAAGGGAAAUGGGGGAACUGGGAGCCCCAGUAACAGAUCUAUGGGGCAACUGGGACCGCCAGGAAAAGAUAUAUGGGGUAAACUGGGCUACCAAUAAGCAAAAUUCUGACAUAAAUGACCCAAAAACGCAUUUAUGAGGUAAAUAAAGGCCCUAAAUAACAGAUCUAUGAGGUAAAUUAGGCCUUAUGUGAGAAAAAUUCUGUCAUAAAUGACCCAAAGUGCACUUACGAUGUAAGCAAGAGGCCCAGUAAGAGAUAUAUGAGGUAAACUGGGAUCCUAGUAAGCAGAAUUCAGACAUAAUUCACCAAAAAUCACAUUUAUGAGGUAAAUAAGGGCCCAAAUAACAAAUCUAUGAGGUAAAUUAGACCCUAUGUGAGAAAAAUCCUGUCAGAAAUGUCUCAAAAGUGCACUUAUGAGGUAAUUAAGAGGCCCAGUAAGAUAUACAUGAAGUAAACUGGGAUCCUAGUAAGCAGAAUUCAGACAUAAUUCACCAAAAAUCACAUUUAUGAGGUAAAUAAGGGCCCAAAUAACAAAUCUAUGAGGUAAAUUUGACCCUAUGUGAGGAAAAUCCUGUCAUAAAUGACCCAAAGUGCACUUACGAGUUAAGUGAGAGGCCCAGUAAGAGCUGUGAGGUAAACUGGGCUCCCAGUAAGAGAUAUAUGAGGUAAACUCAGCUCCCAGUAAGCAAAAAUCUGAUAUAACUCACCAACAAUCACAUUUAUGAGGUAAAUAAAGGCCCAAAUAACAGAUCUAUGAAAUAAAUUUGAUCCUUCAGGAGGAAAACUCUGUCAUAAACGACCCAAAAUGCACUUAUGAGGUAAGUGAGAGGCCCAGUAAGAGAUACAUGAGGUAAACUGGGAUCCUAGUAAGCAGAAUUCAGACAUAAUUCACCAAAAAUCACAUUUAUGAGGUAAAUAAAGGCCCAAAUAACAGAUCUAUGAGGUAAAUUAGACCCCAUGUGAGGAAAAUCCUGUCAUAAAUGACCCAAAAUGCACUUAUGAGUUAAGUGAGAGGCCCAGUAAGAGAGCUGUGAGGUACACUGUGCUCCCAGUAAGAGAUAUAUGAGCUAAACUGGUCUCCUAGUAAGCAAAAUUCUGACAUAAAUGACCCAAAAACACAUUUAUGAGGUAAAUAAGGCCCCAAAUAACAGACCUAUGAGGUAAAUUAGGCCCUGUGUGAGAAAACCCCCACCACAGAAGCCCCGUAAGGCCCAGUGUGGUCAAUGGGCUCCCAUUAACUCAGCCUUAGACCCACGGAGACCCCCGGGAACCCAACAUGACGUCACCGAACGGCCCCCAAAUCCCCUUUUUUGAGCUCAUAUCGGUGCCGGCAAUGCGAUUUUGAAUGUAAUUCGUAGCGCUGUGAGGUAACGCGGCCUCCCCUCCCCCCCCACCCUCAGCGUGAGGCCUACGCUCCAACCCGGCCUCCCAGUGCGGGCCUGGGGGGGAACACACAGCAAAGCCAACCCCCCCCCCCCCCCCCAACACCCCGUCCCACAGCAGCCCACAGC
ensembl:lncRNA